GAUGCAUAGCCGACCUGAGAGGGCGAACGGCCACAUUGGGACUGAGACACGGCCCAAACUCCUACGGGAGGCAGCAGUAGGGAAUUUUCGUCAAUGGGGGGAACCCUGAACGAGCAAUGCCGCGUGAGUGAAGACGGUCUUCGGAUUGUAAAGCUCUGUUGCGAGAGAAAAAGGACAGGAAGAGGGAAUGCUUCCGGUUUGAUGGUAUCUCGCCAGAAAGUCACGGCUAACUACGUGCCAGCAGCCGCGGUAAUACGUAGGUGGCGAGCGUUAUCCGGAAUGAUUGGGCGUAAAGGGUACGUAGGCGGCCAGAUAAGUCUGGUGUGAAAGGCUGCAGCUCAACUGCAGCACUGCACUGGAAACUGUCCGGCUGGAGUGCAGAAGAGGGCGAUGGAACUCCAUGUGUAGCGGUAAAAUGCGUAGAUAUAUGGAAGAACACCGGUGGCGAAGGCGGUCGCCUGGUCUGCAACUGACGCUGAAGUACGAAAGCGUGGGGAGCAAAUAGGAUUAGAUACCCUAGUAGUCCACGCCGUAAACGAUGAGAACUAGGUGUUGGGGGAAUAACUCAGUGCCGCAGUCAACGCAAUAAGUUCUCCGCCUGGGGAGUAUGCACGCAAGUGUGAAACUCAAAGGAAUUGACGGGGGCCCGCACAAGCGGUGGAGUAUGUGGUUUAAUUCGAAGCAACGCGAAGAACCUUACCAGGCCUUGACAUCCCCUGCAAAGAUGCAGAGAUGUAUCGGAGGCUAUCAGGGAGACAGGUGGUGCAUGGUUGUCGUCAGCUCGUGUCGUGAGAUGUUGGGUUAAGUCCCGCAACGAGCGCAACCCUUGUGAUAUGUUACCAGUAUCAAGUUAGGGACUCAUAUCAGACUGCCGGUGACAAACCGGAGGAAGGUGGGGAUGACGUCAAAUCAUCAUGCCCCUUAUGGCCUGGGCCACACACGUACUACAAUGGCGGAUACAGAGGGCAGCGACAGGGCGACCUGGAGCGAAUCCCGAAAAGUCCGUCCCAGUUCGGAUUGGAGUCUGCAACCCGACUCCAUGAAGUUGGAAUCGCUAGUAAUCGCGAAUCAGCAUGUCGCGGUGAAUACGUUCUCGGGCCUUGUACACACCGCCCGUCAAACCAUGGGAGU
rnacentral:rRNA from 1 species